UAUGAUCAUUAUACGUUGGGUCUGUGUACUGGAUGUGUGUACCACAGUUUUUUGGACUAUGUCUAUCUGUCUGCUUAUCUAUCCGAACACACCACAAAAUGGAGUACUGUACUUCCUGAAUGGGCAACAUUUGCACACACCAACAGCAGCUUCAACUGACAAAAGCUGCACAGUACAUCAAGCAAGAAAGAGAAGACAUGAUGCACUUGUCCAGUAGAUGGCGCUGUGAGCAGGACUUAGUGAUCCAGACAGCCUUGGUCCGAGUUGCGAGGGCAGCAGUCUAAGAAGGAAAGCCCAGACUCACGGUCCCCGGCCUCCUCCUCCAGCUCUACCGGAAGGACACCGAGACAUUCCCAGGCGAGCUGUGAGACAUAACCCCUCCAGCGUGUCCUAGGUCUCUGUCCGGGUGGGCAUGCCAGGAACACCUCACCCGCAAAGGAGGUGGGCUUGCACUGUAUGUGAACAAACUGUGGUGUCAUCCUGGCCAUGUCAACAUUAAAAUCUAAAAUCUAUACAGCAUUUAUUUUAAAUCCAUUUUUAUUGCAGGGAAGAAACCCAAUACCAAUAUCUACCAAUAUCACAUUUUAAUGCUAAAAUGGGGCCGAUAAUAUUGUUGAGCCGAUAUUAUCGGACAUCCCUAAUAAUAAGUAGGGGUGUAAAUCUCUUUUGUGGUGAACGAUUUCAUACGCAACUACAAU